UGGGGAAUUUUGGACAAUGGGCGAAAGCCUGAUCCAGCAAUGCCGCGUGUGUGAAGAAGGCCUUCGGGUUGUAAAGCACUUUUGUCCGGAAAGAAAACGCCGUGGUUAUUACCCGUGGCGGAUGACGGUACCGGAAGAAUAAGCACCGGCUAACUACGUGCUAGCAGCCGCGGUAAUACGUAGGGUGCAAGCGUUAAUCGGAAUUACUGGGCGUAAAGCGUGCGCAGGCGGUCCGCUAAGACAGAUGUGAAAUCCCCGGGCUUAACCUGGGAACUGCAUUUGUGACUGGCGGGCUAGAGUAUGGCAGAGGGGGGUAGAAUUCCACGUGUAGCAGUGAAAUGCGUAGAGAUGUGGAGGAAUACCGAUGGCGAAGGCAGCCCCCUGGGCCAAUACUGACGCUCAUGCACGAAAGCGUGGGGAGCAAACAGG
rnacentral:rRNA from 1 species